GGAUCGUGGCUCAGUGAUAGAUCACAUGCUUUGCAUGCAGAAGGUCUUGGGUUCGAUCCCUGGCUUCUCCA